UCCACCUGAGACUCGGUGGGAAGGGUCUGUAUAGGUUACUUAGCUCCAAAUAGGUGACAAGCAUUGAGAAGGACUCUUCUGAUUCCUCCUACAAGCCUGUGAGCGGCACAUAUUGACCCUCAUUUUACAGAUGGGAAAACUGAGGCUCAGAGAAGGCUCCUGCAGGCUACACAGCGAGUCUACAGCCUGAUCCAGGCAACCUCAGGAUCUGGUCCCAGGCGUGGGGAGAACCAUCCUUAGGAAUGUUGUCCUGUCGCAAACCUGAGAGGCUCCGGUCGCCCUCAAGUGAAGGGACCAAAGCUGACAGAUAAGAAGCUGCUCUCUGAAGUCACACAUGAAGACAUGUCAGAGGUAGGGCUUGACCCAGGUGCACUGAGGCCUAAGCUCCCGCCAGUCCUGACCUUGGAUCCCAGAAGAUGUUGUGAGGAUGGGGAGGACAGGGUGCAGAACAGGCCUGUCUGGGGUUGGGGAAGGAAACUCAGGUGUCUGGUCACCACCAAUACAGUUGAAGGGUACCUGGGGGUUCAUGCCAAUUUUCUGUGACUGGGUGUGGGAUGAAGGUGUGGGGUCCAGAGAGCUUAAGUAAUAUUCCCCAGGUCACAUUCCCAGUGCUGCCAAGCUGGAACACAACGAACAUUUCCUGAGCACCUGCUGAAUGUCAGGAAGGGAAAAGGCACAUGCUAUACAGGGCAGCAGCCAGGAUGCGUUGACUGAUGCAAGGCUGGACGGUGGCAUUCCAGGGAGGGGACACCUUGGGUGCAAAGGCCUGGAGGCGUGAUCUAGACGCUGGAGCAACACCGAGAAAUCAGGGGGCGGUUGUGGCUCAGGCUC